rnacentral:lncRNA from 1 species
GACUGCAUCUCGGCUGCUUCCCUUCACCCCUGAUCUCCUCACACUCAUCCACCUAGAUCCUGAAACUGGAGGGACCUGCACUACUUCGUAGUCUGUUUGUUCUGCUUAUCCGGGUGAAGAUGGAACUGGACAAAAGAAUACCUAGGGGUGGACCACUUGGUGCCACACUUCUUCUUCUGUGUCUCCAUCAUAUAGCAAUGGCUGUGACUCAUCCCGAUGAUUGGGAUCAAUUACGCCUGCAACAGUGCCCUUUUUUGUUUCUUCAUCCACUGGUCUACAGACUUGCAGAGCCCAGGAUGAACUAAUAGCAACCAUGGCUUUACAUUUAGUGAGAAUUAGGUGGAACACAGGCCUUCAAGAAGAGUCUUCCCACAAAGAAGAAGAACAUCUAGACACACAGAGCCUAAAUAUUCAUGCAGAACUUCACCAGCACAAACACCCUGCUGGAAUUGGUGGUAAGUGGAACCACUUCUACUGUACUUUUUGUCAGUUUGUAGUAUCAGAGUUUUGCUAAAUGUGUAAGACCAUGAAUUAACCUUUCAUUCCAAAUUUAGCCAUACACUUUGUUUUGAUAUACAGCAUUUCCUGUUUUUAUUCUGUAACAUGCAUAAAUUUUCUAUAGACACAGUUUUAUUUUUUGUCCCAAUUUGUAUCUUAACAGUUUUCAGAAAUUAUAAAUGGUUAUUUAAAAAAAUACAUUUAUUAAUUCUUAGUCUUAU